ACAGCAGUCGCCACGGUAAAACGUAGGUGGCAAGCGUUGUCCGGAAUUAUUGGGCGUAAAGGGCUCGCAGGCGGUUUCUUAAGUCUGAUGUGAAAGCCCCCGGCUCAACCGGGGAGGGUCAUUGGAAACUGGGAAACUUGAGUGCAGAAGAGGAGGGUGGAAUUCCACGUGUAGCGGUGAAAUGCGUAGAGAUGUGGAGGAACACCAGCGGCGAAGGCGACUCUCUGGUCUGUAACUGACGCUGAGGAGCGAAAGCGUGGGGAGCGAACAGGAUUAGAUACCCCGGUAGUCCCUGUCUCUUAUAC
rnacentral:rRNA from 1 species